GCAAGGGACAUUGGCUGUGCAGUGUGACAAAGUCAGCGCUGUUACAAGAGAAAGGUCUGUCCAACCCAGCAAUCCAAGACUUCAGGAAAGAGAGCUGGAGCCUGAGCUUGGAAGACACACUACUGCCACAGUGUUCCAGCUGAAGUGGUCCCUGGCCUCGUAGCUUCAGGGGAAGCAAGGGUGGGAUGAUUGCUUAUCUUGUCUGGGCUUGAACAAGAGAAAACCAUCAGCAAGGCUCUUGUUGAAAAAAAAAAACUCAUCUUUUUGCUGGUGCCUCCCUGCAAGAAGUAAUUAGCCCUGGCUG